CAAGGCGGCGUGCAUAGCACGGCUGCAAGCCCAGUUCUUAGGAUUAUAGAAAAAGAAAAAAAAAAAUUGGAUUCUGAAAACCUCCCGACCAACAGCUGAAGCCCAGCUGACUGUGCUGUAAGUCAGAGCUUCCAGUGGCUGGUGGCCAGUGCUGACUGGGAAAGUUUCCAGGCUCAGAUGGACUGUGAUUAACCCAAGAUGGGUCAAACUCUGCAGGAAGCCCUCCACAACCAGCCACUCCUUUUUAUCCACUUUCCAAUGAAACCAAUUACUUUUACAGCGAGUCUUGGUGCCCACACUAUAUGUGUUGUUGUUGAGUACUGCUGUGAAAAGGAAGGCAGACGUGAAGUGGGAAACCCUCCUGAGCUGCUCCAAUAGACUGUAAAAUAUACCUAUAGUCAGUAUCCAUGGAGACCUACUGAAGUGUGAGAGCAGCCAGAGGGACACACAAAAACCUUUCAUAAAACCCAGUAUAUUACGAUUGUUACAAUCUUUUAAAAUUUGUCAUCAAAGCAGUUUUUUUUGCCAAAGUGUAAACAAAAACCCUUUCUUUUUUACACUACUUGCUCUUUUUAAGAUGCAGAGCAGAGAUGCUGUAAGUUCGAUUAGUGCAUGUCACUGGUUUCUAUUCAUUUCCUUUUAAUUUCACGAAUAAUAAAACAGACGUCAAAGAGAUUAAACUUUCUGAGGAAAGGUAAACCACUAUUGUUCUCACUGUGAUAGCAUUUAUGCUGCUAAAGAUGAAGAAUAUGUCUUGUGGAGAGCAGAUUUAUUUCAAAUCCACUAUGUGUAUGAUGCACAUUUCAAUAAUGGUGCUGGGACUGCACACACCCAUUAAUAUCUGCGCUGAUACAUAAAAGGUUCACUACUUCCUGCAUUGGCACAGAACUGGGGCUAAAUCAUGGAAAAUUAAAGUGGAUAUAAGUCAUGAAAAACUGCACUGGAUAUUAAAUGAUCACCACUGGUGUUUGAGAAAGUUCAUUCAACAUCUUAGAAUACCAAAAGAAUAUAUAGUCCCCUAAAUAUAAAAGAUUUUUUCCAUCAAGAUCAUCAAUAAUUCCCUGUGAAAUUGGUGAAAACUAAAAAAAAAAAAAAAAAAAACUAAGUUAAAGAAAGGGAAACAAAAUUCCUGGAUCUGCCCCUUUGUCCGGAUCUACACCAAAAU